rnacentral:rRNA from 1 species
GACGAACGCUGGCGGCGUGCCUAAUACAUGCAAGUCGAACGCAGUGGGGACGGGGGAGUAACACGUGGGUAACCUCCCAUCAGAGGGGAUAACACUUGGAAACAGGUGCUAAACCGAUACUGAUGGAUGGACCCGCGGUGCAUGAGCCAGCUGGCGAGGUAACGGCCCACCAAGGCCACGAUGAAUAGCCGACCUGAGAGGGUUAUCGGCCACACUGGGACUGAGACACGGCCCAGACUCCUACGGGAGGCAGCAGUAGGGAAUCUUCGGCAAUGGACGAAAGUCUGACCGAGCAACGCCGCGUGAGUGAAGAAGGUUUUCGGAUCGUAAAACACUGUUGUUAGAGAAGCGGUAUCUAACCAGAAAGCCACGGCUAACUACGUGCCAGCCGCCGCGGUAAUAC